rnacentral:rRNA from 1 species
GACGAACGCUGGCGGCGUGCCUAAAACAUGCAAGUCGAACGGAGUAGCAAUACUCAGUGGCGAACGGCGGAGUAAUACAUAAGCAACGUGCCCUAAAGCCUGGGAUAGCCAGGGGAAACUCUGAGUAACACCAGAUGUGAUCGCGACUCGGCAUCGAGAUGCGAUUUAAACGGUUUUUCGUCUUUAGGAGCGGCUUAUGGCCUAUCAGGUAGUUGGUGA